GUCUAAUCAAUGAGUUCUAAGUAAAGGGCAUUUAGCCCAAGAGAAGAUACAACCCUCCAAUACAAAAAUAAAGGGCAACCGAGUAUCUCAGGGUUAAUUUAUUAACUAUAAUUUAAUGUAAUCAAAGGAAUGAGCAGCACGGAUAAUUCAAGGUCUCCUGUUCCAGGGAAAACCACCACGUGCGACCCACGGCUUGCAGAAUGAAGGUUUUUAUUCUCCUUGGGUGAUAUGUAACGAGCAAAGUUCUUCGCAACCAGAUCAUCAUUAACACAGACCUGCACAAUUUUGGACGUUUCAUGAAUGAGACACAUAGAGUCAAGUCUGGAACAGGAAAGAGAUGCCACCUUAUCAAACACAAAUCUGAGGCUAGGACACCAACAUCAUUUUGUAAGUCACAAGCUGGACGUUUCUGACACUGCGUGGUGAACAUAUGACACGGAUGCUGGGGAGCUCGGCCCCGGCUCUGGCUUUGGGGGUGACCAUCCCAGCCACGCCCUGAAGGGGGCCCUCCUGCCACUGCCGCCUGCACCCAGUGCAGAACCUCACAGAGAACAGGCCCAUCUUGGGCUUCCAGAGUGGCCGGUGCAUCGCCUUCCCAACACCAGUGUCCCCAGUGACCUGGGACAUAUCUGUCUCCCCAGCCAGAACGCAAGCUCCCUGGGGCAGGGACGCUGUGUGUGCAGCACUCCACAUGUGACUGGUUAGACCAAUAUGGCAAGAGCGGCUGGGGGAAAGCUGGCCAUCGGUGCCUCACAGCCUCCGUCUCCCGCUUUCUACCUAUCACCUUGCCCUUUCCUGUGCUUGCUUUGGAAAGAAAAUCUAAGAAGAGCUGUAGGUGGUGGAAGACAAGGAGAAACCGGUAUUUGGAAGCAAGGAACAAAAAUAAUGGAAGUAAAGGUAGAGU